AAAACAACUCUCGGCAACGGAUAUCUCGGCUCUUGCAUCGAUGAAGAACGUAGCGAAAUGCGAUACUUGGUGUGAAUUGCAGAAUCCCGUGAACCAUCGAGUCUUUGAACGCAAGUUGCGCCCGAAGCCAUUUGGUUGAGGGCACGCCUGCCUGGGUGUCGUGA
rnacentral:rRNA from 1 species